CUUGGUGUCUGCAGCCUCUUUUUUGAAAGACAGACCCAACGGACUUCUACAUCAAAAAUAAGAAAAUGAAAUAUAAUUUAUCAUUUUAUAUCAAUCAACGAAGAAUCAGGGCUAUUCUUAUGACCAACACUAGGCUUCUUUAUGUGCCAUGAUCUAUAGAAGUAGUUGAAAAAGUAUUGUUCCAUCUUCUCUUGUAUCCCACAACC
rnacentral:lncRNA from 1 species